rnacentral:rRNA from 1 species
UACGGGGGGGGGCAAGCGUUGUUCGGAAUUACUGGGCGUAAAGGGCUCGUAGGUGGCCAACUAAGUCGGACGUGAAAUCCCUCGGCUUAACCGGGGAACUGCGUCUGAUACUGGAUGGCUUGAGUUCGGGAGAGGGAUGCGGAAUUCCAGGUGUAGCGGUGAAAUGCGUAGAUAUCUGGAGGAACACCGGUGGCGAAGGCGGCAUCCUGGA